CCUUCCCUCCAAGGCCCCCUUGGGCUUUGGAUGUUGGGCCGUUUUGUCCCCCUGCUCUCCGGGGGGACAGGCCUGAAAGACAGUGGCGAUGCCGUAGUCAAUCCCCGAGCGUAUGGGUGUCUUCCGCUCUCUCUAGGCUUGAUUGGCAUCCGCCGUCCUUCUGCACUGUGUGUGUGUGUGCAGUGUUUUGACUCC
rnacentral:misc_RNA from 1 species